CAGCAGCCGCGGGAAUACAGAGGGUGCAAGCGUUAAUCGGAAUUACUGGGCGUAAAGCGCGCGUAGGUGGUUCGUUAAGUUGGAUGUGAAAUCCCCGGGCUCAACCUGGGAACUGCAUCCAAAACUGGCGAGCUAGAGUAGGGCAGAGGGUGGUGGAAUUUCCUGUGUAGCGGUGAAAUGCGUAGAUAUAGGAAGGAACACCAGUGGCGAAGGCGACCACCUGGGCUCAUACUGACACUGAGGUGCGAAAGCGUGGGGAGCAAACAGGAUUAGAUACCCCAGUAGUCCCUGUCUCUUAUAC
rnacentral:rRNA from 1 species